rnacentral:lncRNA from 1 species
UAGAUGUCAAACGCGUGCAACACAAGGUUGUUCUCUUAUUGUCCUUACCUUGUUCUAUUAUUGUCUUUUAUCCUACUAUAGGAUAAAUUAUAUCUAUAGGGGUCCCGAGUACUCGUCUUCUCUUUUUGUCUUGUUUGUCAAAAAUUGAAGAGGACUUGUUGGAUAAAAUUUUGUGUUCUCUAUCCUAUUAUAUAUCUAUAGGGGUCACGAGUACCCUGUCUUGUCUUUUCUUUUGGCUGUCAAAAAUUGAAGAGGAUUUGUCGGAUAAGAUUUUGUGUUUUCUCUCUCUAUAUGAAGAACAUUUCUCUAGAGUUUCUCAUCUUUUUCAUACCAUCACUCCUUCAAUUUAUAUCAAGAUUUUGUCAACAACUUUUUUUUUGAAAUCCAUAGUUAGAGUUAACUCAAUUUUAGAUAGUUGGAAUGAUCUUUUUUUCUAAGUAGGAGAAACUCUUACAUAGGCCCAUUAUUGGUACCCCUGAUUUAUCACUGAUCAGGCAAAUAUUUGUUAUUUUUUGUUUUAUCAUACUAUUAUUAUUUCAUUCUACUAUCAAUUUAUUAUAAGUAGAUCCAAUAACGUUGCACUGAUGCAUAUUUGUUAUUUAUUGAAAGAUUUUUGACGGUAGAAACGAAAUAUUAGAUUGGGUGCGUAGUGUUAGUCAGUAAAUUGGCAUUGUGCUUCUUAUCAAAAGGUCUGCUAAUUUAAAACGCGGCAAACUCCCGAAGUGCAUUCUUGGUUGUGAAAAGGGAAAAAGUAUGAACUGCCAUAAUUCUUUUCUGAGUGGCAACCCUUGAAAAGGAAUACUAGAAACCAAAAACUGUGGUUGCCCAUUUGAGCUGCGUGUAAUCAAUACCUCAGAUGGUGUCAUUGGUGGUUACUGGUGAAGUGCGGUUUUCAUAACCACGAAACACAGAAUAUCUUCAUGAUCACCGUACCCGUCAAGGCUCAAACCAGCAGAGACAUUCUGUGCGCGAGAUGGCUGGGAGUCAAAACCUCAUGAAUUCUCAGUGUUCUUGAAAGAACGAAACUCUGCAACACUCGGGGAUUCAAAAGUUUACAACACUAUCUCAAACACAAAGAAGUCAAAUGUGGUGCCUAACUACUAUUUAGCAUGUCUUGGAUCAUUAAUUAGUAAAGAUACCUUCAUACAUUGCUGACAAAUCUAGACACGACGAAAUUAAAACAAAAUAUUCUCUAGGUUUAUCCUAAAAGGUUGGAGGUAUUUAUCAACUUUCCCACUGUGCUGAUCAUUGAUGCAACAAACAAGACCAAUGACUAUCGCACACCAUUUGUUGGAGGUUUGAGUAUCACGUCACCCACACUGCGAAGCAUACUUAUGUUCGCAUAUCUUGCUAUGAGAAGUCGAUCGGCUAGCAUGGGUCUUGGGUACCUUGCUGCGAUUGAAAAUGGAGAAUGAUGUCAUCGGGGCUUGUUUUUCAAUCGGUAUUUGGCACUAUGAAGGCCAAUGAAACCUGUUUUCCCACGACAAUUCCACAUCCUCUGUAUUUGGAAUAUAAAACCAGAACGUGGUGAAUACUGCCAGCCCUAUUCUUGGUUCGGAGAUGAAACGAUUUCUUGUUCAUUGUUGCACUCGCUAAUUAUGUCAUCAACCAGAGUCUUUCCACAAAAGUGGCACACCUUGUCGGGGGAGUUUAAAUCCUACCCGUGUGCAACAACAAACCUCUGAAAAAAACCUGAAUUAUGCCUACAAAUGCGGUUUUUGUAGCUGCGUGGUAAAUACUACUUUCAUGCACUUUGGAAGCAAUUCAAGUCAAAGGUAUAAUAAUUUCUAUUGCAAAGUACUUUUUGUGUAACUGUCUUAUUUAAAAAUAGUGCAUGGUUCUAUUACAGUGCGGAAUCUGCCUAUACCAUGCUAAGCUGUAUCGGGGAUACCAUGGUCAUCGCGAGAUCCAUCCUUUGUGAAAAUUUUCAAGAUGCUAAAAUGCAAUUCGGCCUCAUUCAGAGUCGUUCGUUCGAGAUCUCUAAACAUUCCACGCCAUAACAAAUUGGCUCACUACUUUUCAUUGUUGUA